AGCCUCUACUAUGCAGACGGCACAGGGUCCCAGGGCCCUAGGGAGGAAGCCCGGUGAGAAUCCGGCGCGGUCCCGCCACUGUGAGUCCGGCCACGGAAACCGGACGAGUCAGGAACUCCCGCCGUCCUACGACCACCCGG
rnacentral:ncRNA from 2 species